GGUCCCGUAGUUCAGUUGGAUAGAACGCCAGAUUCCUAAUCUGGAGGUCACAGGUUCGAAUCCUGUCGGGAUCACCA
rnacentral:tRNA from 1 species